AGAGGGCAGAGUGCCCCUUGAAUCCCUCUGCCCUGGGCAUAGAGGUUCCCCUCCCCUUGCUCACUUAGUUUGAAGCACAGUAUUGUGAGACAGCUCUGUUGUCAUAUCCAUCAAAUCACUCACAAUCUACUUCCAUUAUCACUGAAGAGCAGAGCUGAGCUUUACAUUAUCUUUCAGGGAAGUAAAUGGGACUGGAAGCCCAGUGCCAUGUAACAAAGGAUUAUGAAGCCUCUCACUGCAGGAAGAAAAACCUCAAAAGGAAACGAAAAUGA
rnacentral:lncRNA from 1 species